rnacentral:rRNA from 1 species
AUUGAACGCUGGCGGCAGGCCUAACACAUGCAAGUCGAGCGGAGCGGCGGACGGGUGAGUAAUGCCUAGGAAUCUGCCUGGUAGUGGGGGAUAACGUCCGGAAACAGGCGCUAAUAUCGCAUACUAUCAGAUGAGCCUAGGUCGGAUUAGCUAGUGGGUGUGUGAACGGCCUACAAAGGCGACGAUCCGUAACUGGUCUGAGAGGAUGAUUAGUCACACUGGAACUGUGACACGGUCCAUACGCCGAAGGGAGGCAGCAGUGAGGAAUAUUGGACAAUGGGCGAAAGCCUGAGCAAGCCAUGCCGCGUGUGUGAAGAAGGUCGUCGGAUUGUAAAGCACUUUAAGUUGGGAGGCGUUACCAACAGAAUAAGCACCGGCUAACUGCGUGCCAGCAGCCGCGGUAAUAC